rnacentral:rRNA from 1 species
GACGAACGCUGGCGGCGUGCCUAAUACAUGCAAGUAGAACGCUGAAGGAGGAGCUUGCUUCUCCGGAUGAGUUGCGAACGGGUGAGUAACGCGUAGGUAACCUGCCUGGUAGCGGGGGAUAACUAUUGGAAACGAUAGCUAAUACCGCAUAAGAGUAGAUGUUGCAUGACAUUUGCUUAAAAGGUGCAAUUGCAUCACUACCAGAUGGACCUGCGUUGUAUUAGCUAGUUGGUGAGGUAACGGCUCACCAAGGCGACGAUACAUAGCCGACCUGAGAGGGUGAUCGGCCACACUGGGACUGAGACACGGCCCAGACUCCUACGGGAGGCAGCAGUAGGGAAUCUUCGGCAAUGGACGGAAGUCUGACCGAGCAACGCCGCGUGAGUGAAGAAGGUUUUCGGAUCGUAAAGCUCUGUUGUAAGAGAAGAACGAGUGUGAGAGUGGAAAGUUCACACUGUGACGGUAUCUUACCAGAAAGGGACGGCUAACUACGU